rnacentral:ncRNA from 1 species
GACCUGCACGAAUGGCGUAACGACUUCCCAGCUGUCUCAACCGCGAACUCGGCGAAAUUGCAUUACGAGUAAAGAUGCUCGUUACGCGCAGCAGGACGGAAAGACCCCGUGACCUUUACUACAGCUUGGUAUUGGUGUUCGGUGUGGCUUGUGUAGGAUAGGUGGGAGACUGUGAAGCUUGGACGCUAGUUCAGGUGGAGUCAUCGUUGAAAUACCACUCUGGUCAUAUUGGAUACCUAACUUCGAACCAUGAUCCGGUUCAGGGACAGUGCCUGGUGGGUAGUUUAACUGGGGCGGUUGCCUCCUAAAAAGUAACGGAGGCGCCCAAAGGUUCCCUCAACCUGGUUGGUAAUCAGGUGUCGAGUGUAAGUGCACAAGGGAGCUUGACUGUGAGACUGACAAGUCGAGCAGGGACGAAAGUCGGGACUAGUGAUCCGGCAGUGGCUUGUGGAAGCGCUGUCGCUCAACGGAUAAAAGGUACCUCGGGGAUAACAGGCUA